GAUGAACGCUGGCGGCGUGCCUAAUACAUGCAAGUCGAGCGAACAGACGAGGAGCUUGUCUCUCUGACGUUAGCGGCGGAAGGGUGAGUAACACGUGGAUAACCUACCUAUAAGACUGGGAUAACUUCGGGAAACCGGAGCUAAUACUGGCUAAUAUAUUGAACCGCAUGGUUCAAUAGUGAUAGACGGUUUUGAAGUCACCUAUAGAUGGAUCCGCGCCGCAUUAGCUAGUUGGUAAGGUAACGGCUUACCAAGGCAACGAUGCGUAACCGACCUGAGAGGGUGGUCGGCCACACUGGAACUGAGACACGGUCCAGACUCCUACGGGAGGCAGCAGUAGGGAAUCUUCCGCGAUGGGCGAGAGCCUGACGGAGCAACGCCGCGUGAGUGAUGAAGGUCUUCGGAUCGGAGAACGCUGUUAUUAUUGGAGAACAAAUGUGUAAGUAACUAUGCACGUCUUGACGGUACCUGAUCAGGAAGCCCCGGCUAACUACGUG
rnacentral:rRNA from 1 species